rnacentral:rRNA from 1 species
GUCUGUAUGAGAGGUAUAUAAAGUCUGACCUGCCCAUUGGGAACUAAAAGGCCGCGGUAUUAUGACCGUGCAAAGGUAGCAUAAUAAUUAGUCUUUUAAUUGAAGGCUAGAAUGAAGGGUUGGACAAGAAAUCAACUGUCUUAGGUAAAAAUAUUAAAUUUAACUUUUAAGUGAAAAGGCUUAAAUAAAUUAGGGGGACGAUAAGACCCUAUAAAACUUUAUAUAUUUAUAAUUUAAUAGUAAUUUUUAUUUAUAAAAUUUUAGGUUAAAGUAUUUUAUUGGGGCGAUAAAAAUAAAAUUUUAGGUAACUGUUUUAUUUUUUAACAGAAAUGUUUGAGUUUUAGAUCUUAAAAAGGAUCAAAAGAUUAAGUUACUUUAGGGAUAACAGCGUUAUUUUCUUCAAGAGUUCCUAUCGACGAGAAAGUUUGCGACCUCGAUGUUGAAUUAAAAGUUCUUUGUGGGGCAGAAAUUACAAAAGAAGGUCUGUUCGACCUUUAAAAUUUUACAUAUUUGAGUUC